AUCGGUUGAGUUUCGAGUUCCCAAGAAAAAGAGAAAAGAGAAAGCAGACCUGAAUCCAUCAAUGCCUGCAACUCAAGGAUGGCUUCCUGAGAAACGAUCCCCAUUUCGAAGCAGAGAUGAUUGUUGGUGAUUGAUGGUAGAGAUGCAUUGAAAUGAUUAUCGGAAGCUCGAUUGGAUUGGAAGCUUGUCAGAGAUUAUCACACUAUCAAUUGGUUCUAUCAAUAAUUUUGGAUGAUUUGAUUCUGGUUAUAAUGGCAUGAAUAAGUUAAAUUGGCCAACGUUAGCUCAUUAAUGUUUUGAUUUUGAUUGGUUAUAAAUAUGAAUGUUUGAUGAAAUGAAAUGUUUGUAAAUUAAUUUGUAAAUUUCGGUAAUGCUCUAUAACCUUAUUCUGGCGAUGGAUACGGGUUAGGGGUGAUACAAUAAUUGACCUAGUAUGUUAGUAAGUCAAAACUAGUAUAUAUGCUUGAGACUUGUAUAUAUUAUGUACAGAGAGUUUUAAUACUUA